AUUGAACGCUGGCGGCAUGCUUUACACAUGCAAGUCGGACGGCAGCACAGAGAAGCUUGCUUCUUGGGUGGCGAGUGGCGAACGGGUGAGUAACAUAUCGGAACGUACCGAGCAGUGGGGGAUAACUAAUCGAAAGAUUAGCUAAUACCGCAUAUCUUCUGAGGAAGAAAGCAGGGGACCAUUUGGCCUUGCGCUGUUUGAGCGGCCGAUAUCUGAUUAGCUAGUUGGUGGGGUAAAGGCCUACCAAGGCGACGAUCGGUAGCGGGUCUGAGAGGAUGAUCCGCCACACUGGGACUGAGACACGGCCCAGACUCCUACGGGAGGCAGCAGUGGGGAAUUUUGGACAAUGGGCGCAAGCCUGAUCCAGCCAUGCCGCGUGUCUGAAGAAGGCCUUCGGGUUGUAAAGGACUUUUGUCAGGGAAGAAAAGGGCGGGGUUAAUACCCCUGUCUGAUGAC
rnacentral:rRNA from 1 species